rnacentral:rRNA from 1 species
UACGUAGGGUGCGAGCGUUGUCCGGAAUUACUGGGCGUAAAGAGCUUGUAGGUGGUUUGUCGCGUUGUUCGUGAAAUCUCACGGCUUAACUGUGAGCGUGCGGGCGAUACGGGCAGACUAGAGUACUGCAGGGGAGACUGGAAUUCCUGGUGUAGCGGUGGAAUGCGCAGAUAUCAGGAGGAACACCGGUGGCGAAGGCGGCUAUCUGGACCGACAUUGACGCUGAGGCGCGAAAGCGUGGGGAUCAAACAGG